rnacentral:lncRNA from 1 species
AAGAUUUCCCAACCACUCUGGAAGAGCCUCCAUGCCGUCGAAGGAGUUUAUUAUUAAAUGUGUUAAAGAAGUGAAGCGUUGAACUUGUUCAGGCAAACAGUUGAGCUUCGGCCAACCCAACAAGCUUAAUAUUUCAAGUUGUGGAAUAACCUGAAAAGCAGGGAAGGAAUCGAGCUCCUUCCAGAACCCACCAAUCCCCAAAUUCUUUAAGUUGGUGAGGGAUGCUGCAAACACACUAGGGGGUACGCUUUUUAAUCCCUCACAGUUAUAGAUCUCCAACUCACGGAGUUGUAUGAGGCUGUCUAAACUUGGAAAAGCUUCGAGAUUCCUGCAAUUCCUUAUUAACAAGUGCUCAAGAGAGGUACAAUGUUGUAACCCACUCGGUAGGCUUGAUAAUUUAUCACAAUCUGAAAUCUUUAAUUGGCAGAGAGAUGGGAGGCCGUUUGUGAUUGGAAUAGCUUCGAGUUUCCAAGCAAUUGCUUAUUGACAAGUGCUCAAGAGAGGUACAAUGUUGUAACCC